UUUUAUGAAUCCCGCUGCAAUCAUUUUUCAGGCCUGAUUUCUCAAGGGACCUUUUUCAAACAAUAGUGACUGUUUCCACGGAAGUGUUCAACGUCCGCUGUGUAACGACGGUGGCACCCGGAAGUGUUUUUGAACGACCUUUCCCUUCCCACUACCAUCGGCUCCAUCUCGGCCACCGCAGCAGCCAGUGCCCAGGCCACGGUGCUGGGUGGCUGGCAGGUUCUUGUACACGGCUCGGCUGUACGGGAUGAAGCACAGGCCCAGCUGGAGGUGUCGAGCCAGGCGGCAGUAUGCCGCCAGCGCCAACACGAGUAAAGGGGUGACCAAGAGGAAGCCCACCACCAGCAGAGCCACACAGCCUCCAUCAGUCAGCAGGUCUGAACAGUAGGGGGUCGUCCCAUGAGGGCGGACCUGGAAGGAGGAGAAAGGCAUCAGUUGGAAUGAUGUGGCGGAAGGAUGUCGUAAGAAGUCCUGGUUAAUCCCUCUCUAAGCUGCUGUCACAUGAGGUCUAAUUGUGAGAGAGCCGGAGAACAGAGGGAAUCCUGGUCUCUCCGGUCAUUAAGGAGGUCAUCGGCCCACAGAAAUGCCAUCGAGUGGCAGAGGAAGCCAAACACCACCAUAACAAUGGCGGGCGUCAGGAUGCUCCCGAACACCAGUCCAGCGAGGCAGGCAUUGAUCGUGGCAAUAAUCAGGUUCUGAGCCGUUACCAGCACAGAGCAGGCCCAGCAGUCCAGGGACCCCCGCAGCUCCAGAGGAGCGUCACUGCCUCCACCACCGCUCUCGGCUGCAGAAUAAGGAGGAGGAGUUUUGGUUAUGGCUGAGGAGACGAAGGAGGAGCUCUGUCACCGGGAGGAGGAGGCCUGGUGUCUGGGUCAGUGAUCUUUACAGUACGGGCCACGUUCCAGGACACAUGAAUCAUGGGGACGAUGGAUUUGACCUUCUUGACUUCGUUCCACUCAAACCUCUCCAUGGCCAGCUGGUACUGAGAGGGUGCACUCCUUACCACUGAGAGGUCCGACGUUCCAGGCGAUGUUGUUGCACCAGCCAACAGCCUGAACCCAGUGAACAGUUCCAG